rnacentral:rRNA from 1 species
UACGAAGGGGGCGAGCGUUGUUCGGAUUUACUGGGCGUAAAGGGCGCGUAGGCGGCUAUCCAAGUCAGGCGUGAAAGCCCCGGGCUUAACCUGGGAGGUGCGUCUGGGACUGGGUGGCUAGAGUUCGGGAGAGGAGAGUGGAAUUCCCAGUGUAGAGGUGAAAUUCGUAGAUAUUGGGAAGAACACCGGUGGCGAAGGCGGCUCUCUGGACCGAGACUGACGCUGAGGCGCGAAAGCGUGGGGAGCAAACAGG